rnacentral:tRNA from 1 species
CGGCGUGUAGCUCAGCAGUAGAGCACCGGGCUAUGGACCCGGAAGGCGCAGGGGCAGCACCUGCCACGCCGG